UACAUUCUCCACUGUAAGUCGCUCUGGAUAAGAGUGUCUGCUAAAUGACUAAAA
rfam:Salmo salar isolate Sally breed double haploid chromosome ssa16, whole genome shotgun sequence.